rnacentral:lncRNA from 1 species
UAAUUGAUAGAGUUGGAAAUUUAGUUACCUAAAUUAUCUAGUGCAACCUGCACCGAAGUUAAACUCUAGCAGAUAUCGGUACCGAUAUCUAGUUACUUUCUUUCACAUUAUUUAUUUAUUUAUUUUUCAUUACUUCAGUACCUAUUUCUUAUUUUUACUGCAAAUUUUGUUUUAUAAUUUCAGGGAUAGACAUUGUUUAUUUUCUAAUUACGGGCUUGUGUGAAAGUACAUGUUACACUAGAUACUGGUACCGAUAUCUUGUGCAACCUGCAACGGAGUUGCACUACUGUAACGGAGUUAAACACUAGAGAUAUCGGUACCGAGAUCUAGUGCAACCAGUAACCGACCAAAACACUACCAGAUAUCGGUACCGAAAUCUAGUGUGCUGGACUACUAGAAAAACGAUAUUGCUUUUAGGGUGCGGCUAUUGCCACCCCACCAAAUGCUUUCUUCACCCCAUAUUUCAAUUUUAAACUAAAUAUUCCAAUACUGACCCCACAAUCAAGAAUUUUUGUGAAAAUAUAAUAUUAAAAUAAAAUCCAAACAACAUCAAUUCUCUACAUCUUUACAUUGGAAAAAAAAAAACAAAAAAAACAAAAUCUCUACAUUUUUCAAAUCAGAUUUGAGAAUCACUUCAAUCUUCAACAUGGUGGUUAUACAGUGUGAUAUAUGAGAUUGUUAGUUCUUAUUUUUAUUUUAUUUAUGGUUUCAAACGUAGUAUUUCAUAUAUAUAUAUAAUAUUCAUAAUCGUAAAGAAAAAACUCAAGAAAGAGAUCGAGGAGAAUAUAGGAUGUGGUUUGAGAAGAAUGGAGGUAUGCGUCAAUUAUAUUGAUGAAAUAUUAUCAUUUUUGUAAUUGUAAGUUAAAAGAAAGAAAAUAAAAACUAGAUUUUCACAAAAUUUUAAUGGCAGAAUUGGAAUUUUAAAGGUAAAAAAUUAGACGUGGGGUGAACUGAGCAUAUAGUGGGGUGGAAAUAGCCGCACCCUUGCUUUUAUUCAUUAUUUUUUUUUUCCUUCAGUACUUCUUUCGUUAUUUCUUAGUUCUACUGCAUUGUUUAUUUUUUAACUAUAGGGAUACGCAUUGUCUUCAUCAGUAGUAAUUCUAACGAAUAUCUUAGCUGUGCAUGUUCUAUGAUUGCUAAACAAUCCAAAGUGGCUAUCAAGUCGGUUGGUAAGUUUUUUUCACCACCUACGCUUCUAUCAUUGUUUUUCUCUGUUAGUGAAUCAGACCCUUUCAAGUCAAACACUUUUGAAUUUGUUUGCAGAGUAAUAGAACAACAAGAUGUGGAUUUGAUUGUUCGUAUGUCCACAAUCGUUCAUACCGACUUAUAUAUUUGUCUGCUCGACCCCGGCCGCAAACCUCCACAUACGUGAGUUCUCCUCACCAACUGCACUUUUAGAAUUUUUUUUGUCCAAGUAAAAGAGUGUUUGAACGAUUAGGUUUUAAUACCAAAUAAUUUGAAAUGUGAUCGAGUGUUAUAAAUCAUUAUUUGCCUCUUUUAUAGGCUCUCUUGGAACGUUAUGAUUCUAGUGAAAUUGAUAUAUGUGUUUCUUUCGAAGUUCAUGACGAGAGUGUAACUACCUCCCUAUGGUCGGUCAAGCGAGCCAAGGACAACGUACUACUGCUUGAAUUAUAUCCCCAUGUGUUCCAUAACAAAAGAGACAUACAAGUCAUUACAUCUUGGUAUAUUCAAUUGGCUAACCUGCAUAACCCCUCUUUUGCUAACAGGGCUCAAUGUGGUACGUAAAUGAUGUAGAGGCCAUAUUCUAAGUCAGUUGCAAAGGCUUGAGAGUUGAGAAGUGUGGUAUACGUCUCUUGCACCGGGAAGAAGAGGUGGAGUUUGAGAACACGAUAACUGAGUGCUCGACCUCUUUCUUCGAUAAUUUGUCACUCAACUGUCAACUUGUAGAAGCAGAUGACCAAAACGAUCAACCAUGGAUAAGGCAUGAGCCUCCAACGCUUGAAGGCCAUUUAUAUGAAGCAGAGGAAGCUUUGAGGGGAGAUUCAGUAGUGGUCCAAGUAUACGAGUGAGAAAGGGUACACUUAUAGCAUUGUUUUUCUCAGUUAGUGCAUUGAUUUCGUUUGUAGAUUCGUACAACAGCAAGAUAAGGAUUUGAUUGUUCGUCAGUCCAAAAUCGUUCAAAGCAACUUAUAUAUGUCUCCUCGGCCUCAGCCGCAAACCUCCUCGUCGAUUAGGAGAAAAUUUUAGGGAAACCAAACUCUUCGACAUCGACUUUAAUUCUGGUAACUUUUGACAUCACUUGACUGCCCUAAAUUUUGUAGCAAACAAUUUGCACCAAGAUGAGGAGAUAAUUGAUAGAGUUGGAAAUUUAGUUACCUAAAUUAUCGGGUGCAACCUGCACCGGAGUUAAACUCUAAAAGAUAUCGGUACCGAUAUCUCGUGUAACGAGUACUGGGCUUGUGUGACAGUAAGUUUCAUGAUGGAUGUUACUUUUUUUCACUUUAUUUAUUUAUUUAUUUUUCAUUAGUUCAGUACCUAUUUCUUAUUUUUACUGCAAAUGUUGUUUUAUAAUUUCAGGGAAAGACGUUGUUUAUUUUCUAAUUACGGGCUUGUGUGAAAGUACAUGUUACAUUAGAUACCGGUACCAAUAUCUAGUGCAACGUGCAACGUGCAACGGAAUUAGACUCCAUCAGAUAUCGGUACCGAUAUCUUGUGCAACCUGUAACGGACUUAAACUCCACCAGAUAUCGGUACCGAAAUCUAGUGUGCUGGACUGGCUUGUGUGACAGUUACACUAGAUAUCGGUACCGAUAUCUGGUGUAACCCGGACUGACCACAAAAUCGAUAUUGCUUUUAUUCAGUAUUUUUUUUCCUUCAGUACUUCAUGAGCUAUUUCUUUUGGAGUUUCCCAGAUUAGGAGAAAAUUUUGGGGAAACCAAACUCUUCGAUAACGACUUUAACUCUGGUAACGUUUGAAAUUACUUGACUGUCCUAAAUUUUGUAGCAAACAAUUUGCACCAAGAUGAGGAGAUAAUUGAUAGAGUUGGAAAUUUAGUUACCUAAAUUGUCUGGUGCAACCUGCACCGGAGUUAAACUCUAAAAGAUAUCGGUACCGAUAUCUCGUGUAACGAGUACUGGGCUUGUGUGACAGUAAGUUUCAUGAUGGAUGUUACUUUUUUCACUUUAUUUAUUUUUCAUUACUUCAGUACCUAUUUCUUAUUUUUACUGCAAUUGUUGUUUUCUAAUUUCAGGGAAAGCCGUUGUUUAUUUUCUAAUUACGGGCUUGUGUGAAAGUACAUGUUACAGUAGAUACCGGUGCCGAUAAUGCAACGUGCAACGGAGUUACACUCCACCAGAUAUCGGUACCGAUAUUUAGGGCAAACUGUAACGGAGUUAAACCCCACUAGAUAUCGGUACGGAUAUCUAGUGCAACCUGUAAUGGACUUAAACACUACCAGAUGGCGGUACCGAAAUCUAGUGUGCUGGACUGGCUUGUGUGACAGUUACACUAGAUAUCGGUACCGAUAUAUCGUGUAACCUGGACUGACCACAAAAACGAUAUUGCUUUUAUUCAGUACUUUUUUUUUCCUUCAGUACUUCAUGAGCCAUUUCUUAGUUCUACUGCAUUGUUUAUUUUUUAACUAUAGGGAUACGCAUUGUCUUCAUCAGUAGUAAUGCUAACGAAUAUCUUAGCUGUGCAUGUUCUAUGAUUGCUAAACAGUCCAAAGUGGCUAUCGAGUCGGUUGGUAAGUUUUUUUCACCAACUACGCUUCUAUCAUUGUUUUUCUCUGUUAGUGAAUCAAACCAUUUCAAGUCAAACACUUUUGAUUUGGAUUUGUUUGCAGAUUAAUAGAUCGAACAACAAGAUGUGGAUUUGAUUGUUCGUAAGUCCACAAUCGUUCAAACCGACUUAUGUAUUUGCCUCCUCGACCCGGGCCGCAAACCUCCACAUACAUGAGUUCUCCUCACCAACUGCACUUUUAGAAUUUUUUUGUCCAAGUAAAAGAGUGUUUGAACGAUUAGGUUUUAAUACCAAAUAAUUUGAAAUGUGAUCGAGUGUUAUAAAUCAUUAUAUGUGUUUCUUUUCGAAGUUCAUGACGAAAGUGUAACUACCUCCCUACGGUCGGUCAAGCGAGCCAAGGACAACGUACUACUGCUUGAAUCAUAUCCCCAUGUGUUCCAUAACAAAAGAGACAUACAAGUCAUUACGUCUUGGUAUAUUCAAUUGGCUAACCUGCAUACCCCCUCUUUUGCUAACAGAGCUCAAUGUGGUACGUAAGUGAUGUAGAGGCCAUAAUCUAUGUCAGUUGCAGAGGCUUGAGAGUUGAGAAGUGUGGUAUACGUCUCUUGCACCGGGAAGAAGAGGUGGAGUUUGAGAACACGAUAACUGAGUGCUCGACCUCUUUCUUCGAUAAUUUGUCACUCAACUGUCAACUUGUAGAAGCAGAUGACCAAAACGAUCAACCAUGGAUAAGGCAUGAGCCUCCAACGCUUGAAGGCCAUUUAUAUGAAGCAGAGGAAGCUUUGAGGGGAGAUUCAGUAGUGGUCCAAGUAUACGAGUGAGAAAGGGUACACUUAUAGCAUUGUUUUUCUCAGUUAGUGCAUUGAUUUCGUUUGUAGAUUCGUACAACAGCAAGAUAAGGAUUUGAUUGUUCGUCAGUCCAAAAUCGUUCAAAGCAACUUAUAUAUGUCNNNNNNNNNNNNNNNNNNNNUUGUUUAUUUUCUAAUUACGGGCUUGUGUGAAAGUACAUGUUACACUAGAUACCGGUACCGAUAUCCAGUGCAACGUGCAACGGAGUUGCACUCGGUACCGAUAUUUAGUGUAAACUGUAACGGAGUUAAACCCUACUCGAUAUCGGUGCCGAUAUCUAGUGCAACCUGUAACGGACUUAAACACUACCAGAUAACGGUACCGAAAUCUAGUGUGCUGGACUGGCUUGUGUGACAGUUACACUUGAUAUCGGUACCGAUAUCUCGUGUAACCGGAAAUCUAGUGUGCUGGACCACAAAAACGGUAUUGCUUUUAUUCAGUAUUUUUUUUUUGAAUUAACCUUUGUUUAGUCCCUAAGGUUUACACAACUCAUCUACUUAGUCCUCAAGGUUUAAAAAACAUCUAUAUAGUCUUUAAGGUUUUGAUUUCUCAUCUAGAAGGUCGAACAGUUAUAAAAAACUGUUAAGCUACUGUUUUUCCGUUACAAAAAGUUUUUUUUUUUUUAAGAUCUAGACUAAUCUUCUCCUAAGAACUAGCCUUCAACAUGCCAACACUUCACCUAACGACUUCCUGUCUAAUGGUUACUAAACAUGACGGAAUCACUGCUGUGUUAGGGUAAACAAGUCUAAACACUUACAAAGUAAAAGGGAAACGUACCACAACGAAAAUAAAAUGCAGAAAUGUAAAAAAAAUUUUUUUUUUACGGAUUAUAGGGCAGAAGGUAGAAUUUAUUUAAUUCAACAUAAAUACAAAUACCAAACCCAGAGCCUUGCUCUUAGGGAAUGCUGUUUAGCUACUCAUACUUGUAAUAAAUACUUACUUGUAAAUUUACAGCACACCACACCAGAUGAUUACAGACUUCACUCUAAAAAUACUCUUAAUAUUCUCACAUUAUUCUAAAGACUGUAUACUAACUCUCGUACUUUUUGAAAAAUGUUGGGAGAUUUCAGAUGUUUGUUUCAGGUUUUUCUCUUCGAUGUCUUCCUUCUGAAGUUUGAGGCUCCUUAUAUAGGAGGCGGAACUCAAGCUGGAAUUAAAUCACACUUAUACAUAGUGGGAGACAGGAGGAAUCCUAUCCUAGUAACUUUACUUUUGAAAAAGUAAAGUCGAAAGCUUUAAUGUGCUGGUAGCCACUUUCUUUUUAUCAAAAGAAAAGCUGCUUAUCUUGUUGCGUCGGCAGCCACUCAUCUUUCCAGCAUAUUCAUAAUUUUGUGAUAUGUUUCUGGAUCUUCAGAAUAAUCCACUGAGAAGUUGGGACCACUAUAUUCCCAAUCUCGCGCCGUGUCUUCAUCUCCAUUGUCGAGAUCUGAAUCAUACGGAUAAGAAAUUUUAUAUUUUUCAUCAGUCUCAACCUUUUCUAACCACGUAGUGGUGGCCAGAGUGCAAUCCACUUCUUUUCUCAUAAGAGCUGUGAAAAAGUCACAAUUCUCUGAUGGAGGAUGAUUAUAGCAAGUAACCAUUAUUUUUUCUCCACUUGCCAAAAGACUUGAAUCAUAGUCUCUUAGCACCACGUCUUUGAUAACAGAUAUAGCCAUAGCCUUCAUCCACGGGAUGCUUUGAUUUGGUCUACCAUUGCCACUUACAACGGUUGUCUUUUAAACUGGACUUUGGAUAAAUCUGACAUGAUGAUAUGGAGAAAUAUAAUUCAUUUGACCAUUUACCAUUGUCCAUUCCUUAGGAUGCAUCUAUCAGGUCUGAUAUUUUUGACUGCUUCAGUAAUUAUUGCAGGCAAAUCAUGCAGAUCUUCAUUGGUUUUUGUCCACAAAUUAUGAACAAAACCGUUCUCUACAAGCCAUAGCUUGUGCUUCUAGGGAUGUUCUGCUUGAACAUCAACAAGAUAUCUCCCAUAAUAUGGGCUUGGAACUGUUGACAAAGUUCCUGGAAGAACAUUUUUUCCUUCACCUAAGAGGUUAUGAAAGCUGUACCAUUCCGAUUCUUUUAGCGCUAAAAUGGGGAUCUUAGCACUUUCAGGAUUUUCGAGGUAUACAACCUUCGAGGUUUCUGCUAGAAUACCUUUAUCUUUUGCAUGGAAUCCAUGCAUUUCUUCAGUUAAAGCCUUGAGAGUUUGAAGCAAGUGAGCUUCAUUUUCUUCAUAAAAUGAAUACAGAAUAUUAUCAAUAAUAAUCUUCUGCUUGAAGGGUAAUAGUCUUUCCGUUCUGAACACUGGCUUCUGAAAGAUCUUUAGAGAUUGCUCAUGGAUGACCUUCUUUCCCGUGACUAUCGGUAUCUUAUUCGUCUUAAGAGGGUCUCUUCUGCUUUUUGGCAAAGCAGCAGCCAUCAACGGGCUUGAUAUGCCUUUACCGUCUGCCGUUUGAGACGGGCUAGCCAGUCUUUUCCCCUGAGACUGAUCAGUUAAGGCUGAUCUUUUCGGACACAGCAAGAACUCAGAUAUGAGUUUGUCUUCAUUAGUACCACCUGAAUGACUAGAACGACCAUCUUCUUCAGAAUUUUGUUUAGGUUUGAUUCUUGAAGCUUGACUGGGCUCAGCAGUUCCAUAAGAAACAAUAUACUGAUAUCCUGGUCCGUCAUAGAGUGGUCCUACGGUUUUAUCACCACUUUUGAAUUAUUCCCAGAGCUUCUUUUCCUCUGAUUCUGGUUUUCGACUUCUGGGAUUGCGACCUUCUUUGUCAAACAUCGCCAUUUCUCUUGUAAGCGCGUCAGGCAAAUAGUUCUUGUUUCCUGCAACCAUUUCAACAUCGUAUUCAUAUUGGGUUAAAAACAUUUGCCAUCUCAACACUCUUCCUCUAUCUGCAGCAUCAGUUAAUUUGUAAUUUUUGAAAUUUUUAACUCUUUUGUUAUCAGUUCUAACUACAAAUUGGUUUCCUAGGUAUGCCUCAGCACCCUUGAUGCUUUUAAUUAAGGCAAGGACUUCCUUGUCUCCAGUAGAAUAAUUUAACUCAGCAGCGUUAAACUUUCCUGAUAGAAAUUUACAAAUCUUUUCAUGAUUUGUAUUUGGAGCAACAGCUAAAACAACUCCUGCCCAAUAAUAAUCAUUUGCAUCAGUCUGCAAAAUGAUCAAAUCUCCUUCUUCAGGUAACUGUAAAAGAGGAAGGGUUUUUGUUAAUUCCUUAAUCUUUCUGACAGUAUUACUGUCAUCAGCUGUGAAAGACCAUUUUUUUUUAGAACUUGUUUUUGGAGAGAGAAGAGCAGUUAGACCACUAACUUGAGGAAUAAAAUCUCUCGCAAAAUUAACAACUCCCAAAAAUCUCUGUAAAGACUUAGCAUCUGGGAUAUUGUCUGGAAAUUGGCUAAUUUUCUUAACAAUAUGAUCUUGGAGACGAAUCUCUCCAUCCUUAACAUGAAUGCCAAGGAAAUCAAUUUCACCUUUAAUUAGACGAAUCUUUUUCUGCCCGAGGAUAAUUCCCUUCUGGACAAUAAGCUUACACACCUGUUCAAGAUGUUUUAAAUGCUCGUUCAUAGUUUUGGAAAAGACGAGGAUGUCAUCUAUGUAAACUAUGUAAAAGUCUGCGUAAGGCUUGAAGAUAUUAUCCAUUUUCCUUUGGAAAAUAGACGGGGCUUGCUUAAGGCUAAAUGACAUAACUAACCAUUCAUAAUGCCCUUGAGGAGUUCCAAAAGCUGUUAAAGCUAUGGAUUCAGGAUGUAUUUUAACCUGCCAAAAGCCUGAUUUUGCAUCAAACUUUGAGAAGAUUUUUGCUCCCUUAAGCCUAUUGAUGAGAACCCUCACCUGUGCUAUCUGAUAACCGUCUUUAACGGUCUUUUUGUUCACAUCCCUGUAAUCAAUUACCAUUCUAGCUUUUCCUCUUAAUUGUUCAGCAUGAUUCCGUAUCAGAAAAGCUGGGGCAUGAUGAGGACUAUUUGAAGGCCUUACUAACUUUUUUUCCAAAAGCUCUUGGAUCUGAUUUUCCAUUUCUUUUCUAUCUUCUUCCCUAUAGUGAGGGAUGGCCUUAACAUGGCAAAUAGCAUUUGCAUCAUCCAUUUUUAGCUGACAAUAUAUCGGGUCCUUUUCCCAAUACAACUGAGGAUCUUCACUGAUUACUGGUUUCAGUAAAUUUUCUAUUUCUGCGAGAGUUGGUAUUUUCUUUUGUUCUACCCUUUUUGCAUAUACCUUUAAGUUAUGCUCUCUGAUGUAUUCUUCUUCUCCAUCAGAACUCUCACUGUCAGAAAUUUGAUAUUCAGAAUUUUCCUCUGAAUCAGAGUCUUCUGAACUUGUUGUUUCUUUUACCAAUAUCUCACUAUGCCCUUUAAGUUGUUCUUGAAGAAACAAAACUGGCUUUAAAAUUGGCGUAUAAUCACCACUCUUCGUUGCGUAUAAUCACCACUCUUCGUUAGCGACGUCUGAUAUUGGUUGGUAAAUCCUUUACUUGUAACGCAUACUGCGUCGGUUAAUCGGGAUUCCCAAUAGAAUUUUCUAUUUUUCUCAAACCCAAUCCUGUCUGGGGUUUGAAUUACUGUUUGUUGAAGAAGAAAGUCAUUUCCUAUCAACAAAUCAGCAGUUUGGCCUUCACAUUGCCAAAGGAUCUUUAUGGUAAAAGUGCCUCCUCCUAAGGAAACUUUUACAUUUCUAGCCAUAGUAUCCAUGACUAUCUUGUUUUCUUCCAUUGCAACUCCAGUAACCGUUUUGGAAGAUUUUUCCCAAUACUCUUCAGGGAUUGCAUAUCUUUUAGCAAGACUGUAUCCAGAACCAGUAUCUACAAAUGCAUGUAGAUGAUACUUCUUGUAGUUGGGAAACUUCAGUCCUAUAGUAAUAUAAUUACUAUAUAUCCUCGUCUGGACUGGUAUUGCUUGUUCUUGUGCUUUUGAACUAUCAAGUAAUCCUGUGAAAGGAUUCACCCUUCUUUCUGCAGGGGUGGAAUCUAGAAGAUUAUCAUCCGCUAAACCUAAUAUUGGAUUGGAACUUUCGGAAUUAAGAGAAUCAAGAGAAUCCUUGAUUUCCUUAUUCUGACUUAAUGAAGUUACAAACUUCAUCGUUUUUAUAUCCUCUUCGAGCUGCAGGUUCUCUCUUUGUUCCUUCUUCUGGAAUAUAUUAUAUUCCUCUUCUACUAAGGUAUGAGCAUCCUUAGCCUUGGUUUUUCUUCUGAGUUUUGCAAUAAAGCAUUCGCGAUGAUAAGUUUCUCCUGUACAUUCACAGUACAUGGGAAUUGUAUUAUCAUCAGCGCAUCCGCAAUAAUCAUAUACAAAUCUUCCUGGAUUAGGGUGAAAGGUACUGAUAAUAUCAGUAUUUUCCUCCUUCCAAUUUUGUAUUUGUAAUAAGAAUAUAGACCGAUAUCCUAUAUCCUCUUCUUCCUCAGAACUUUCUGAAAAACUCUCUGUUUCACUAUCUGAUAGGUACUCAAGAGAAUAUACUGAUUCAUUCUCUUCAUCAGAAUAAGCAACUUCAAUGCCUUUUAGAUUAGCAUAAUCUAUUGCUUCCUCAUAUUCGGCAAGUAAGACUUUAGAAGUCCUUUUAUCCUUUUUCGGACAUUCAUUUGCAUAAUGUCCUUCUGCCUUGCAGAGCCAACAUCUGCACUUCUUUACUUCUCUAGAAGAAUAACCUGUUUUUUUUUUCUUCUGAAAAAUUUCUUCCUAGGAGAAGUUUGAGAAGAUUGUCUUUUUUGAUAUUCAGAGCUUUUUCUGAACUUAUACUUCUUUUUAGAAGUCGUAAUUUUUUCUUUUGCUUUCUACCAGAGAAUUUCUUCCUAAAUUUCUUUUCAGAAAUAUGACAUCCUCAUUGUGUCGGGUAUCCAAAUCUUUGGACACAUGUUUUCAACUCCUCUGAGUUGUUUCUUAGCGGUUUUGGAUUUUCUAUUCUCUGUACAUUGCCUUCUUAGGAGAUCCCUAACUCUUUCUGCAAUUCCUCCUACAGUAAAAUAUUGAAAAGGGUUUUCUUCUAAUGAGUGUGCCACUGCAUCAUUCCAGGGUUCUGGUAAUUUUCUGUAAUAUGUUCUGAUGAGAUCAUUAUUUUCAAUGUCUCCAAUAGUGCAGUAGUAAUUCUGGAACUCAUUGGUGUAUUCCUCAAAAUACCUCAUAUUACAAAUACUCAAUUUUUGAAUAUUUGCUUUAGCUCUUUCUUUAGAUUGUUCACUAUGUCCAGUGAUAUCUCCGCAGAAUUGUGCGUAGAUAGGCACUGCAAAAUCUAAAAGACUGUUAGUCUGAGCUAUUUUUGUUGCCCAAUCAGUCCAUUGAGAACUUCUUUUGAAGGACUGGUACCAUUUCUGGACUAUUCCAGUUAAGGUAGACUCAUAAUAAGCAUGAGCUUCCUCGUAGGCAUAUUUAGAUAACACUAGAGCCUGAGUUAGCUUUAAACUAGCGACCCAGUUGUCUAUUGCCUUUCUUUUGUCUCCUACCUGAUCUAAAUCCAGAUAAACCCCUCUUUCGGACACUGACUGUCCACAUUUGGGUUCUGUAGGAAUAUACUUCUGGGACCUUCUUUCUCCAUCUCUUCUUGUAGGAGCUUGUCCUUUUGGAAGCUUGAUAUUCUUUUCACGAAUGAUCCUUGUAGGAUUGUUGGUGAUGUUUUGUAUUAUAGUAUGACCACCGUCUGGAGGGACUUGUCUGAUACGGGUGUAUCCUUUAGCUUUUAGGAAUUAGUGAUUUCUUAUCCAAGUUAGUUAAGUACAUAGUUUUCUAGCUUGAAAAGGAAUAGUUGUCCAACUUAGUUAAUGAGUAGUUUCCAAGUUAGAUAAAGAUUUAUAGAGUUAGACUCUAUAAAUAGAGGUGCCUAGCUUAGUUCUAGACACCAGAGUGAAACAGAGACAACAUCUGUUUAGACCAGAGUGAAACAGAAACAACAUCUGUUUAGAAGAGAGCGAAUCAGAGAGAGCUAGAGAGUUAUUGUGAGAGAAGACAUUAGACAAUAGUUAUUGUACCUUUUUGCACAAUAAUAAGAGAGGAAUAUAAUUCCUUCGACCUACAUUACUUGAGUAUUUUAGUACUACUAAAAUUUCCGCUACUAGUAGUAACACCUGAGUAAUUCGUAUCAUUGUCUUUCCCCAUCUCCUGUAUCCAUGGAGGAUGAACCUGGAGGUUCAUCUUUUGCUGCUUGAUAAGGAAGAAUCUUCCUCUUUUUCUUUCCAAGUUGAACUUCAAAAAUUUCUUUUAUGAUCUUUUCAAGUUCAUCUAUGGAAUCACAAGUUUCUGCUUGUGCAUAUAAUUCUCGUAAUUCUUGCUUGGAACAUUCUCAUAGGACUUUUAGUAUCCUCCUCUUCAAGAGAUUCUUCAUUGUACUCUGUCUUAGUUCCAGAGGUACUGGCUUCUUCAUAAUUUGCAAACGAAUGCAUAUGAAAUUGUAAACUGAUUUUUCCUCCCAUGUCUUCAUAAAUUGAAGCAUUAGAGCUCUCAAGUUGUUUGACAGGAGGGGUCAGAUUCCAUUCUCUUGGGAAUGUUACUUCAUGGCAUUUUGUGACAUGCUUUUCUUGAGAAUUAUUUUUUGGGUUGGUGAGAACAGAUGUAGUAAUUCCAGGGCUGUUUAGAAACCUGGUAUUAGGAGUUACAUUUGAGCUCAUCAACUUAUAAUAGAUUCGAUAAUCUAUCGCUAGUUCCAUCAUUCCUUUUUUCAUAGAAAUCCCAUCUGUCUUGAUUCUUAAUCUUAGACAGUGAGCAACAUCCCUAAGAUGCGUUGUGAAAUUUGAAAAAACAUUGAAAUAUGCAACUUGGUUGCACAAAGAAGCUUCUACUGUUCCUAACAAACUUUUCUUAAAGUCUGUUAUUCUAUCGUCUUGUAAGACAUAUAGAACAGAACAGUCAAUACCAUCUCUGGCCAAGAGUUUUAUUCCUACUUGUACUGCUCCAAUAUGCAUAUAGGAAUAUUUUUUCUGGAAAGCUUCACUUACUUCCUUUGGAGUUAUCAACCUGAUAUCUGUUUCUCCACCUGUGGCUGAAACAGUUAAUUCAAGAAUCUUGAAUCUAUGGGAGUCCAUGAUGAAAGAUCCUCUUUUAUAGAUCUCAUUGAAUCUAAAUCUAGGAGCAGAUGCUUCUCUUACACUAGAAUCGAUUUCAUUAUACUCAAAUUCUUGAGCGUUUAUUAAUUGUACCGGAACAGUAUUCCUUUUACUGAGAAUUCUGUUCAACAUCUUCAUAUCUCUCUUGGUUGAUGAUUUCCAUUCAAGUAGCUUUGGUUCACUAAACCUUAGCCUAUUUUCUCCCAUUGGUAAGGGUGGAGAAUUCAUAAUGAUUUUACUAGCUACAUUUUGAGCUAGUAAUUCUUCAUCUAUUUUUUCAUAAUUUUCUCCUUGUUUCAUCUUUUCUACAAUCUUUUGUAGACCAGAUAUCCUGUUAUGUAUCUCCCGAAAUUGGAUUUCAAGGUCCAUAUCUAUCUCUUGGAGAUAAGCGAUGUUAUAAUUCUGUUGAAGAAUUAUUGCCUCUACAUUUUCGGCGAGUUUUUCUGUAGGUUGAUGAAAGCCAAUAGUUUUAAUACCUUCCUGUUUUACUUUUAGAUCUACUCUCUGAUUCAUCCUAUUCUGGAAAUGAGAGUUUUUAAAAGCUUUCUCAAAUUUUCUUGAGUGCUUUUUAGUUCUACUGCUUGCUAAUGAAUGUUGUUUGCAAGUGCUUCAGUACGAACUAAUUUCUUUUCAAUAUCUGUUAGAUAUUGUUUUUCUUUGAGGUAAUCUAGCUUGACUUCAAGCUUGAAAAUUUUUGAAUUGAUUUCCUCAAGUUGAUUAAUCCGUAGAUUAAAUCUCUCGAGUUGUUCUAUAACCCUUUCAGAGGUCUUAUCCCUAGAUAAAUGGUCUAGGAACUCGAUUAAGCUUGGUUUUGCUGGAUCAAGCUCUUCUACUCCGAUUUCUCUUUGGAGAUGAAUAUGUUUGUCGUAGAGCGUAUUUAAUACUCUACACACGUAUUCAAUGGAGUACUGGUUUUCUUGGAUGUGCCUUGAAUGAAAGCACACUUCCCACUUGUCAGUUCUUUUUGCAGUACAAAAAGACUGAUAAUUUUUUAAUUUGGAUUCUCUUUUAUUAGUCAAGAGAAGCUAACUUUGUGGCAUAAGCCUUUUGUCACCUGCUUUUGAGCCAAGCAGGCUCUGAUACCAGCUAGGGCGGAUCUAACCGAUGCUCAAAAUAUCAAGAGGGUUUUGAUCUUGUUCAAAUGUUUCUUGAAGGACUUCAAUUUCCUCUCUUGACUCGUAUAUCCUUCGUUGCAACUGGAAAAUAAUAUCCCAGUAAUUUUUUGUAUUUCUCGGAAGCUUAUCUCUUCUUUCUUUUAAUUUUCUAAGAUUUCUUCUUUCUUCUUGUAAUUUUUUAUAAGAUAGCUUAGCUUCUGACAAUAAAUCAAAUCGAGUAGCAAUAGAUUCUCCUAUUGGUAAUAAAAAAUUAACUGUUUACCUUUGAGGAGAAUGAUAGAUUUAUAUUUGCAAAAUGUUAAAUAUAAACAAAUUCAAAAUCCAAGGCCCACCAUGCUCCAUUCAUUUUUCUUUUAAACAAAAAUAUCAUAGAAAAACAGAAUAUUCUCUUUUCUGACGGAAUAUUCCAUCAGAAAAAAGGAAAGGACUAACCAGAUUAACAAUUAUAAGUUCAAGGACUAAACAGAUUAAACUGAAAGUUCUAGGACUAAACAGAUGAACCACCUAAACUAUAGGGACUUUACAGAAUUUUAUCUUUUUUUUUCCUUCAGUACUUCAUGAGCUAUUUCUUAGUUCUACUGCAUUGUUUAUUUUUUAACUAUAGGGAUACGUAUUGUCUUCAUCAGUAGUAAUGCUAACAAAUAUCUUAGCUGUGCAUGUUCUAUGAUUGUUAAAUAGUCCAAAGUGGCUAUCGAGUCGGUUGGUAAGUUUUUUUCACCAACUACGUGAUGGAUUUCCUGCAAGUAUACAUGGUGGAUGUAGUAUAGUGAAAUGGAAGAGAAGGGUUGUCGUUCCCACGAGGAUAUUAGUUCAAUUCAAAUUAUGAAAUACCUAAACUAACUAUACUAAAACACACAAAUCACGAUAACAAUUUAAAGAAACAAAGAAACAAUAAAAUAAGUAAACAAAUAAUAAUAAAUGAAUCUAGGACGUCAGAAUCAACCACUAACAAUCCUAUGUAUGCUUUGAUGCAACUAACAGACUCUUUCGUUUCUCUAGAUGACAAUUCUCGUAUCCAAGUCCUUCUCAGGUACUCUAGACCAUAAUUUUCCUUAAGUGUAUGAUGUUCUCCCUCUCGGGUAAAGGUCAUAUAUCCUAGCUAUGCAGUCUAUCCUUCUCAGGUAUAAAUUUAACAUGCAAGACUCAUUACGUACUAGAAAAUAAGGGAAUCAAGCAAACCAUUAUUCUUUCUCAAGCAACAAUGUAAUUCACCACACUUAACCACAAGAAGCUAUAUAAAUUAUAUUGCAUCUCUGCUUCAAAUUUAUCUUCCAAUUACUAAAUGCAAAGCCCUAAGGUGAUCAAUCAAAGAACUUAAACAUCAAGCAUAAAAUUCAACCAGUGAUUAAGCUUUCAUCAUUAAGAAACUAUAAAUCUAUUAAUUAAUCAUCAAAGACAUAAACAUUCAUGCUAGGGCAUCAUCCUAACCCUAGAAAAGGUUUAACUAAACAUGACUAAAUAAAACAUAACGAAAACAUAAAAAGAACGAAAAGAUGAAGGGUGGAUGAAUGGAUAGAUGGUCUCUGCUCCUUUAUGCGUCUACAACGUGCUUCCGAGACCUCCUCUUCAUGUGAAAUUCGUGCUUCUUUAUAUAGAGAAGUUUUCUGCUCAUCUUUGACUUCAAUUUUCCUUGUAAGACUUGGAUUCAGACUCCUUUCUUGAUAUGGAAUGGGAAAACCUUGAGAUAUCUCUUGUAGAACUAGGAAUACAUGUACUCCUCGAAUCCUCAUCUGCAUUAUUGUCCUUGCAGCUUUAGGGUUGAUGAUCUUUUGCCAUGGAACUUGAGUUCUCCACAAAUGUUUGCAAUUCCGAGCAGAUUUCCUGAUCUGACCUUUCUUCACUCAAAUGAUCAUAACUCACUCCAUAAGUAUCGAAAUCGAGAUACGUAAACUUCUACAGAAAAUAGACUUCCGUAGCUUUCCAAUGAUAUAAGGCUCAUAGUCUGAUUCGAUUUGAGUAAUUCCCAGUACGUCGGCGAAAUUGGAUAUUCUGCAUAGGCAGAUUCUGGCACUUGGGAUUGUAGUCCUCUUUCAAUCUUUAUUUGCUCAUUUUAGCACAUUUUCUUCUCUUUACGACACAAACCUAAAAGAACCCUAAAAUAACGUAAAUCUGUCACAAAUACGAGAAUUAAACACAAAUAUGAAGAUUAGGAGUUAUAUAAUUAUAGGAUAAUAUGAGCACAUCACUACGCUUCUAUCAUUGUUUUUCUCUGUUAGUGAAUCAGACCAUUUCAAGUCAAACACUUUUGAUUUGAAUUUGUUUGCAGAUUAAUAGAUCGAACAACAAGAUGUAGAUUUGAUUGUUCGUAAGUCCACAAUCGUUCAAACCAACUUAUAUAUUUUUCUCCUCGACCCCGGCCGCAAACCUCCACAUACGUGAGUUCUCCUCACCAACUGCACUUUUAGAAUUUUUUUGUCUAAGUAAAAGAGUGUUUGAACGAUUAGGUUUUAAUACCAAAUAAUUUGAAAUGUGAUCGAGUGUUAUAAAUCAUUAUUUGCCUCUUUUAUAGGCUAUCUUGGAACGUUAUGAUUCUAGUGAAAUUGAUAUAUGUGUUUCUUUCGAAGUUCAUGACGAGAGUGUAACUACCUCCCUACGGUCGGUCAAGCGAGCCAAGGACAACGUACUACUGCUUGAAUCAUAUCCCCAUGUGUUCCAUAACAAAAGAGACAUACAAGUCAUUACGUCUUGGUAUAUUCAAUUGGCUAACCUGCAUACCCCCUCUUUCGCUAACAGAGCUCAAUGUGGUACGUAAGUGAUGUAGAGGCCAUAAUCUAUGUCAGUUGCAGAGGCUUGAGAGUUGAGAAGUGUGGUAUACGUCUUUUGCACCGGGAAGAAGAGGUGGAGUUUGAGAACACGAUAACUGAGUGCUGGACCUCUUUCUUCGAUAAUUUGUCACUCAACUGUCAACUUGUAGAAGCAGAUGACCAAAACGAUCAACCAUGGAUAAGGCAUGACGCUUGGAGGCCAUUUAUAUGAAGCAGAGGAAGCUUUGAGGGGAGAUUCAGUAGUGGUCCAAGUAUACGAGUGAGAAAGGGUACACUUAUAGCAUUGUUUUUCUCAGUUAGUGCAUUGAUUUCGUUUGUAGAUUCGUACAACAGCAAGAUAAUGAUUUGAUUGUUCGUCAGUCCAAAAUCGUUCAAAGCAACUUAUACAUGUCUCCUCGGCCUCAGCCGCAAACCUCCUCGUCGAUAAGUUCUCCUCACCGACUACACUUUUAGAAUUGUUUUGAAUAAGUGAUUGAAUCAAACCCUUUUCAAUUCUUUUGAAGUUUGACAGAUCAGGAGAAAAUUUUGGGGAAACCAAACUCUUCGACAUCGACUUUAAUUCUGGUAACUUUUGACAUCACUUGACUGCCCUAAAUUUUGUAGCAAACAAUUUGCACCAAGAUGAGGAGAUAAUUGAUAGAGUUGGAAAUUUAGUUACCUAAAUUAUCUGGUGCAACCUGCAUCGGAGUUAAACUCUAAAAGAUAUCGGUACUGAUAUCUCGUGUAACGAGUACUGGCUUGUGUGACAGUAAGUUUCAUGAUGGAUGUUACUUUUUUUCACUUUAUUUAUUUAUUUUUUUUCAUUACUUCACUACCUAUUUCUUAUUUUUACUGCAAAUGUUGUUUUCUAAUUUCAGCGACUGGCGUUGUUUAUUUUCUGAUUACGGGCUUGUGUGAAAGUACAUGUUACACUAGAUACCGGUACCGAUAUAUAGUGCAACGUGCAACGGAGUUACACUCCACUAAAUAUCGGUACCGAUAUCUAGUGCAAACUGUAAUGUUGUUAAACCCUACUAGAUAUCGGUACCGACAACUAGUGCAACCUGUAACGGAUUUAAACACUACCAGGUAGCGGUACCGAAAUCUAGUGUGCUGGACUGGCUUGUGUGACAGUUACACUAGAUAUCGGUACCGAUAUCUGGUGUAAGCCGGACUGACCACAAAAACGAUAUUGCUCUUAUUCAGUAUUUUUUUUUCUCCUUCAGUACUUCAUUAGCUAUUUCUUAGUUCUACUGCAUUGUUUAUUUUUUAACUAUAGGGAUACGCAUUGUCUUCAUCAGUAGUAAUGCUAAAGAAUAUCUUAGCUGUGCAUGUUCUAUGAUUUGUUAAACAGUCCAAAGUGGCUAUCGAGUCGGUUGGUAAGUUUUUUUCACCAACUUCGCUUCUAUCAUUGUGUUUCUCUGUUAGUGAAUCAGACCAUUUCAAGUCAAACACUUUUGAUUUGAAUUUGUUUGCAGAUUAAUAGAUCAUACGACAAGAUGUGGAUUUGAUUGUUCGUAAGUCCACAAUCGUUCAAACCGACUUAUAUAUAUUUGUCUCCUCGACCCCGGCUGCAAACCUCCACAUAUGUGAGUUCUCCUCACCAACUGCACUUUUAGAAUUUUUUUGUCUAAGUAAAAGAGUGUUUGAACGAUUAGGUUUUAAUACCAAAUAAUUUGAAAUGUGAUCGAGUGUUAUAAAUCAUUAUUUGCCUCUUUUAUAGGCUCUCUUGGAACGUUAUGAUUCUAGUGAAAUUGAUAUAUGUGUUUCUUUCGAAGUUCAUGACGAGAGUGUAACUACCUCCCUACGGUCGGUCAAGCUUCUCUGUCACUUGGGAGCCAAGGGUUGGUACUACUGCUUGAAUCAUAUCCCCAUGUGUUCCAUAACAAAAGAGACAUACAAGUCAUUACGUCUUGGUAUAUUCAAUUGGCUAAGCUGCAUACCCCCUAUUUUGCAAACAGAGCUCAAUGUGGUACGUAAGUGAUGUAGAGGCCAUAAUCUAUGUCAGUUGCAGAGGCUUGAGAGUUGAGAAGUGUGGUAUACGUCUCUUGCACCAGGAAGAUGAGGUGGAGUUUGAGAACACGAUAACUGAGUACUGGACCUCUUUCUUCGAUAAUUUGUCACUCAACUGUCAACUUGUAGAAGCAGAUGACCAAAAUGAUCAACCAUAGAUAAGACAAGCACUUUUAGAAUAUUUUGUCUAAGUGAUUGAAUCAAACCCUUUUCAAUUCUUUUGGAGUUUCGUAGAUCAGGAGAAAAUUUUUUGGGGAAAACAAACUCUUCGAUAUCAACUUUAAUUCUGAUAACUUUUGAAAUCACUUGACUGCCCUAAAUUUUGUAGCAAACAAUUUGCAACAAGAUGAGGAGAUAAUUAAUAGAGUUGGAAAUUUACUUACCUAAAUUAUCUUGUGCAACCUGCACCAGAGUUAAACUCUAGCAGAUAUCGGUACCGAUAUCUGGCGUAACAUGUACUGAGCUUGUGUGACUGUAAGUUUCAUGAUCGAUAUUAUAUUUUUUUCAUUUAUUUUUUAUCUUUUUUCAUUACUUC